rnacentral:rRNA from 1 species
AUUGAACGCUGGCGGCAGGCUUAACACAUGCAAGUCGAGCGAGCGGCGGACGGGUGAGUAAUGUAUGGGGACUGCCCGAUAGAGGGGGAUAACUACUGGAAACGGUGGCUAAUACCGCAUACUAUCGGAUAACCCAUAUGGGAUUGGCUAGUAGGUAAGGUAAUGGCUUACCUAGGCGACGAGCCCUAGCUGGUCUGAGGGGGUGAUCAGCCACACUGGGACUGUGACACGGCCCCGACUCCUACGGAGGCAGCAGUGGGGAAUAUUGCACAAUGGGCGCAAGCCUGAUGCAGCCAUGCCGCGGGUAGGAAGAAGGCCCUAGGGUUGUAAAGGACUUUCAGUCGGGAGGCGUUACCGACAGAAGAAGCACCGGCUAACUCCGUGCCAGCAGCCGCGGUAAUAA